AUGUUUCUGUGUUAAAUGUGCUCUGUUUGUCUGCAUAAUUCUACACGAACCGUCAACGGCGGACUUGAACAGAUCGACAUGAUCGAUAUCGCAGUUGUUUGGUGCAAGAACUUAGAAUGGUACUUGAUUUUGCCUGCCCUCAUCACAAUAUAAGGGAUUUUACAUUUAAAA